UACGGAGGGUGCAAGCGUUAAUCGGAAUUACUGGGCGUAAAGCGCGCGUAGGCGGCUGGGUAAGUCGAUUGUGAAAGCCCCGGGCUCAACCUGGGAAUUGCAGUCGAUACUGCCUAGCUAGAGUGUGGGAGAGGGUGGUGGAAUUCCCGGUGUAGCGGUGAAAUGCGUAGAUAUCGGGAGGAACAUCAGUGGCGAAGGCGACCGCCUGGCCCAACACUGACGCUGAGGUGCGAAAGCGUGGGUAGCAAACAGG
rnacentral:rRNA from 1 species